rnacentral:snRNA from 1 species
GUUUUUGGCGGAAAAAUCAGGGG